AACGGUCAUACCAUGCUGAAUAUACCGGUUCUCGUUAGAUCACCGAAGUCAAGCAUCAUUGAGUUCGGUCAGUAGUUGGGUG